rnacentral:rRNA from 1 species
GACGAACGCUGGCGGUGUGCUUCACACAUGCAAGUCGAACGAGGUAGCAAUACCUAGUGGCGGACGGGUGAGUAACGCGUGGGAAUCUGCCUUUAGAUGGGGGGAUAACGGGUCGAAAGACUCGCUAAUACCGCAUAUGACGAAAGUUGAAAGGAGUAAUCCGUCUAAAGAUGAGCCCGCGUCCGAUUAGCUAGUUGGUAGAGUAAAAGCCUACCAAGGCGACGAUCGGUAGCUGGUCUGAGAGGAUGAUCAGCCAACAAAUGGGACUGAGACACGGCCCAUACUCCUACGGGAGGCAGCAGU